GACGCUCUCCCCAAGGACGAAGCCAUGCWUGCCCGCUCACCCGGGACGCGGCGGACGGCUCAGGACAACGGUUGCACCCCCCGCGGCGGUCCCUGCUAGCCGGACACCGCUGGCAACCCGGCGCCAAGACGUGCGCGCAAGGGCGGGCGCCCGCGGGCGAGCCAGCGUGACGCAG
rnacentral:rRNA from 1 species